GUGUGUACAACCCUCGAUGAAAAACAAGCAUUCAAAGAUGCAGUUUAAGCCUGCUUGGGCGAGAGUAGUACUAGGAUGGGUCACUUGGUGAGAAGUCCUCGUGUUGCACCCC
rnacentral:rRNA from 1 species